AUUAGCUAGUUGGUGAGGUAAUGGCUCACCAAGGCGACGAUGCGUAGCCGACCUGAGAGGGUGAUCGGCCACACUGGGACUGAGACACGGCCCACACUCCUACGGGAGGCAGCAGUAGGGAAUCUUCCGCAAUGGACGAAAGUCUGACGGAGCAACGCCGCGUGAGUGAUGAAGGUUUUCGGAUCGUAAAACUCUGUUGUCAGGGAAGAACAAGUGCCGGAAUAACUGCCGGCACCUUGACGGUACCUGACCAGAAAGCCACGGCUAACUACGUGCCAGCAGCCGCGGUAAUACGUAGGUGGCAAGCGUUGUCCGGAAUUAUUGGGCGUAAAGCGCGCGCAGGCGGUUUCUUAAGUCUGAUGUGAAAGCCCCCGGCUCAACCGGGGAGGGUCAUUGGAAACUGGGAAACUUGAGUGCAGAAGAGGAGAGUGGAAUUCCACGUGUAGCGGUGAAAUGCGUAGAGAUGUGGAGGAACACCAGUGGCGAAGGCGACUCUCUGGUCUGUAACUGACGCUGAGGCGCGAAAGCGUGGGGAGCGAACAGGAUUAGAUACCCUGGUAGUCCACGCCGUAAACGAUGAGUGCUAAGUGUUAGAGGGUUUCCGCCCUUUAGUGCUGCAGCUAACGCAUUAAGCACUCCGCCUGGGGAGUACGGUCGCAAGACUGAAACUCAAAGGAAUUGACGGGGGCCCGCACAAGCGGUGGAGCAUGUGGUUUAAUUCGAAGCAACGCGAAGAACCUUACCAGGUCUUGACAUCCUUUGCCACUUCUAGAGAUAGAAGGUUCCCCUUCGGGGGACAAAGUGACAGGUGGUGCAUGGUUGUCGUCAGCUCGUGUCGUGAGAUGUUGGGUUAAGUCCCGCAACGAGCGCAACCCUUGAUCUUAGUUGCCAGCAUUCAGUUGGGCACUCUAAGGUGACUGCCGGUGACAAACCGGAGGAAGGUGGGGAUGACGUCAAAUCAUCAUGCCCCUUAUGACCUGGGCUACACACGUGCUACAAUGGAUGGUACAAAGGGCUGCGAGACCGCGAGGUUUAGCCAAUCCCAUAAAACCAUUCUCAGUUCGGAUUGCAGGCUGCAACUCGCCUGCAUGAAGCUGGAAUCGCUAGUAAUCGCGGAUCAGCAUGCCGCGGUGAAUACGUUCCCGGGCCUUGUACACACCGCCCGU
rnacentral:rRNA from 1 species